AGUUGUUUUGGAGGAAAUGCUACACGUAUUUGAUAUAUUUCGCCGUCAUUCAUGUCUUUAGGACCCAGCAGAGACAUCAAACUGGAGUCGCGUCCAGUCUUGUUGAAGGAAGUUGCUAGUUUUCCCAAGAAGUACGGAAUCCGAGCAUUAUAUUAUUAUUGGUCAUUAUUCACCAUUAGAGGGCGCUGAAUGGAUCAUAACGUGAGGAAGUUAUCCUGGACAAGAGCAGAGCAGAAGCUUGCUACAUCAUCUUUUAUCAGAAGAGGAUUCAUUAUCCAUUUCAGGGUUGCUCUGGACAGAGCGAGCUUUAGUCCUCCUUGAUAAUCUUGUUGAGAAAGGUAUACCCUUGAGAUGACCACUUCCGGUUAUCUUUUCUCCAUUGCUAAACUGGAUUGCUUAGGACAGGUGUUUUAUACCCACACACCACAGAAACUUUUUGAAGUUUGGGGAGAUGCAUCACUGCGGAUCCUCUCGUAUUGCAAAAAAAAAAAGAAGAGAGCCUUGGAUCUACUAGUUGGAUCUACCUUGGAUCUACCAAGCAAACAUUUUAUCUGCCUUGGAGAUCCCACUUUGGAGAUGGUGCUUUAACAACUCAGCCAGCUAUCAUUUCUUCACUGCCAUACAGGUUGUGCAGCAAGAUGGUUCGGCCCUCAUACCAGGAGGCAAAACAAGAAUUUGUAUACUUGUAUUUUGUUCAGUACUUAGAGGAGGAGGAGCAACAGAGACAGAACCCUCUUGUCCUGCUGCUUAGGGAUGAACUAAACUGCUCUCAGGCGUUUGUUAUUAUGAAAGGAGUGGCACUAAAUUUAUGGAUUUAAAUAAAGAUUUGCCAAUGUAAUAAAAGCUGUGUAUUUUUUAUUUACAUAUAAUGAUGACUACUACUACUAUAAUAAUAAUAAUAAUAGCUUAUUAUUAUAAAGUGGUUAAGCCACUUUUUGGCAAAAAUAACCCAACAAAUUUGUUAUUUUUAUAACCCAAAUUGUUGGGUUAACCUUAUCAACCCAAUGGAUUGGGUUAAAAUAACCCAACAGAAGGUCGGUGCCAAAUUGACCCAUAUAUGGGUUACCUGCUGGGUUAUUAUUAACCCAACUGUUUUAAGUGAGUAGAGGGUAAUCUGCUGUUAAAAACGAACCUAAAAGAGCCAUAUGCUCUUAAAGUCACAUCAGACUGAAGUUAAGAUUGUUCUUUUUUCCGCUAUUGUGACAAUAUUUUUUACAUUUUGUGUUUAUUAUUACUUGUUAUAUGUGAAGUUUGUUUUCAAAAAGACUUGCUAGAACAAAUUGUGCAUAAAUAAAUGCCAUGCCAUUUGUUUAAUAUUCAGCUGUUAAAUUGUCAUCUUAAUGUAGACAUUUUCCGUGUUUUAUGGAAUUUUAUUUGACAGUGAAUAUUUGACUUGAAUAAUUCAUAAAUCA